rnacentral:lncRNA from 1 species
UCCCCUCGAAGUGAUCAAGGAGGGCCGAUCCCCUCGAAGCGAUCAGGGAGGCCGAUCCCCUCGAAGUGAUAAUUAAAAUCCCCAUUUCUCCUCUUUCGUCUUAUCAUUUGGUAUCAGAGCGACGAUAAAACUUUAGGGUCUUAUCAUUUGGUAUCAGAGCGACGAUCCUCGGCGUUCUCACUAUAGUUUGUCAUUUCAAAAAAAAAAAAAAAACACCAGAAGAAGAAGAAGCCGC